UUUUUGUGGUGUUCUCGGAGCGCAAAUUUUCGGUCUGUCUUUGGUAUUCAAUCACAGCUCACCCCGUUUGUCUGAUAAGCUGUUCGCUUUCAUCCUACUCGGUUUAGUUGAUGAUUGAAUAGGGGCAGCUGUAACACCCCAAAAUUUGCCCUCCUCAUUCAUGCAUUCAUUUAGCAUUUCAUAUUGCAUUUCAUCAUGUCAAUCAGAAUUAGAUCCGA
rnacentral:lncRNA from 1 species